UACGGAGGGUGCGAGCGUUGUCCGGAAUCAUUGGGCGUAAAGGGCGCGUAGGUGGCCCGGCAAGCGUGCGGUGAAAGCUCGGGGCUCAACCCCGAGUCGGCCGUGCGAACUGCUGGGCUCGAGCACUGUAGAGGCAGGCGGAAUUCCGGGUGUAGCGGUGGAAUGCGUAGAGAUCCGGAAGAACACCGGUGGCGAAGGCGGCCUGCUGGGCAGUGGCUGACACUGAGGCGCGACAGCGUGGGGAGCGAACAGG
rnacentral:rRNA from 1 species